rnacentral:misc_RNA from 1 species
UUGCACAAGACCGGCAAGCGAAUGGAUGCUUGCAUACAAAUUCAUUUGCCGGUCGUAAGAACAUGGAGCACUAAGUGCGGAAUGUUCGUGUGCGAAAUCGAGUAGGAGUCAGCCUACUCGAUUGUGUGG